rnacentral:piRNA from 1 species
UGCCAUGGUUGUGGGCAAAGGACACU